rnacentral:rRNA from 1 species
UACGGAGGGGCUAGCGUUGUUCGGAAUUACUGGGCGUAAAGCGCGCGUAGGCGGGCUGUUAAGUCGGGGUGAAAUCCCGGGGCUCAACCCCGGAACUGCCUUCGAUACUGGCAGCCUAGAGGACGGAAGAGGUCAGUGGAAUGGCGAGUGUAGAGGUGAAAUUCGUAGAUAUUCGCCGGAACACCAGUGGCGAAGGCGACUGACUGGUCCGUUUCUGACGCUGAGGUGCGAAAGCGUGGGGAGCAAACAGG